rnacentral:rRNA from 1 species
GACAGAGGAUGCAAGCGUUAUCCGGAAUGAUUGGGCGUAAAGCGUCUGUAGGUGGCUUUUUAAGUCCGCCGUCAAAUCCCAGGGCUCAACCCUGGACAGGCGGUGGAAACUAGCAAGCUUGAGUACGGUAGGGGCAAAGGGAAUUCCCGGUGUAGCGGUGAAAUGCGUAGAUAUCGGGAAGAACACCAAAGGCGAAAGCACUUUGCUGGGCCGAAACUGACACUGAUAGACGAAAGCUAGGGGAGCAAAUGGG